ensembl:lncRNA
UCAGGUGCUCCAGUCCACUCAGAGGAGGCGCAAGACAGCGGGAUAAGCUGAAUAGAGAGAGCACAGUCCUACACAGCCACUCCCGAGCACACGGAAAAAGACAGACAGGGAGAAAGACAGAAAAGAGAGAGAGAGAACGAGCGCUCACAGCUCGGCUUUGUUCUAUUUGAAGUCUUCAGGGUUUGAACCGGUGCCUCUCUGUGAUCUCUCCUCAAAUCAGUUUGCUUUCUUCCCCCGGGCUAAGAAGUGUGACUGCAAACCUUGUGCCUUUGAAUCCCUCCCCCACACCGCUCUCUGUCUCUCUCUCCCUCUCUUCCUUUAUCUCCUGCGUGGAGCGUUCGAGAUGUUUAAAAGAAGCAAAAGCGAAGUUUUGGUGGACGAUGAAACGUCCGAAGGAGAGGAGGACGCGCCCUGGCAUCGGGAGCGCGCGGAUAAGGAUAAAGAAUCCGAAGGAACAGAGGAAGUGCUGGGCCCCUCAACUAAGUGGCACGUAAAUAUGAUCCUCUCGUGAGUUUGCCAACAGUCUCCAGGAGAAGUCUGUGGUUGGUUGAAUAUCUCGGUUUAACCCAUGACCCGAGCACCACGCUGCUCUUUCCUAAUCAGGACGCGCCACUCACGGUAAUGUCUGAUAUGAACACGCACUCACAAACCGCCGCGUUCCCGAAGGAAAGUCUGCGUCGUAUGAUCUAACGUAAGGCUGGAGGUGGACACCCGGAGUGCGGGAUAUUUCCGCAUCUAGGUCAACAGUUUCAGAUGAAUGAGACUCGUCUUCAGGCGGUUUGGCCCUGUUUCGUGAAAGAGGAUGUUUGUGUGAUUUGACUCGUCUGGUGUGUGUGUGUGUGUGUGAGCGAG